rnacentral:lncRNA from 1 species
AAAAAUCCUCAAUAUGAAGAUACUGAUUAAGAAUAUACAAGUGUAUGAUACAUAUGCAUUACAAUAAAGAUAUCAUUCAUAUCAUGUUGACCAUAGAAAACACAACUAUGAAGAAUAUUACACCAUAGAAUUUGCAUCAACUCGACGAAAGAAAAAGAUCAUGUGGAUGAUAUUACAUUUUUCAAUCUAUCAAUGUAAACUACGACUAUUGGUAGAUAAAAUCUUCAGAUUUUAUUUGCUUCCGCAUCCAAGAAUUCUACCGUAACUCAAUUAUCCUUCUCUCGAAUCUGUACAAGAAAACUGCACGUUAGAUAUAUGUGAUUAAAUGCAGACAAAUAUGAUUUAGAAUGUUGAAGAGAAGAUUUAACUUACAAAAGCUGAAGGCCAUGCAAUUAAGUAUCCUGAAGAGAACACUUCAGCAAUUGUCUUGCAAUCAGAAACUUCCCUUACCAACUCCUCAUUAUCAAGCAAAGGUUGAUCUAUGCGCACAAGGGCAAAUUCAGCACCUAACUCAAUACCACACGCCUUAGUUCUUGGAUCAGUACUACGAAUAGUACCAUACGCAACAUUCCUCUUGUUGGGAUAUGUUGAAGUCUUCAAAACUACUUUGGAACCAGCCUAUAUUAUGAUCAAUAUUAGCAUUCAAUGACAAUGAGAAUACAAUUUACAUGAACAAUGUGAUCACUUUUUAAUGUCAGCCCAGUUUUUUGGGAAUAACUAGCAUGAUGCCCCUGCUUUGCUACGGAGCUAUGAAAAAAUAGAAAAGUAACUUGCAUGUAUUUUUAUUAUGGAGCAAUGCAAAAAAAUAGCUUCCCAAGUAAGUAUGACGGUUUUGUAUAUAUUGUAGAACUAGAGGAAACUGGCUUUGUGCACACUUCUACAUAGGACUACAGGAAACUGGCUUCCACUUUUUUUAUAGAAAUAAAUUGGUAGUUGGAGCACACUUCUACACAGGACUACAGGAAACUGGCUUUGUGCAUGGCCAUGUAACUAUAGGUGAUUAAUCUGGUCGUACACUACCAUACUUGCAUAUAGGAGAUCAAACAAAUACAUUGGCUUUUUAAAAACUAUGUUCCAAACUAAGGCUUACUUGCAUAUAGCAGAUCAAACAAAACUUGUAACAAAAUCAAGUUCUCAAGCAGGCAUGAUAACGUGGUUUGGGAGGAUUAAACCACUACUCAUUUAAGUGGAGGAUGCAGCCAAUUAGGAGGCAUGAACUCUGGCAGUUUGGAUAUUAAACACAUCUGAUUAUACUAUUACUACACUUCAUUCUUUGAAACAACCGAAGAACACCUAUUUUCUAUAUGAUAUUUAGGUAGGUCGAUUUAUUCUACUUAUUGUGCACUACAACAACUACUCAAUUACUGAUCGUCCAUUUUAAUAGGCACUUAUUUAUUUCACAUGAAAAGAAAUACAUGAGGAAUAUAUCCAAGGAUCUAUUUUUUUACCAAUUUUCUGGCUUUCAACUUAUGGUCGCUAACCGGUUACUUGCAGGGCCGGGCGGGCAAAGUCAGUGGUCGUGUGCCAAACUCUAAAAUAGGGCCUAUGUCAUCGUGAAAAUAUAGUCUUUUUAUCGCUUAAUGUAUAUAAUCUGUAACAGAACAUAGUGUCUUCUUUGUGAGAGUUGAACCGAGUACAAUUUGAUUUUAUAAAAACAAGGUUGCUACACUUAUAUGAAGUUGUUCAUUCAGAUGCUUAAAAGAAACUACUAAACAAUAAAAUGAACUGGUUAUACAGGAUCUUACAGGCUGCCAAAUAUAGAGUAAAAUCAACAAUACAUUCAGCAACUCGCAAAUUAGAGGGCACAACACAAAGUCCGAAAGAAAAAUGAUGGAUUGUUGUAUCUAUUUAUUAGAAAAUACUGCUACAGACUUGGGACCGAUAGACAUGGAACUAGCUGUACUAGCUGUUUGUGUCAUGUAUUUGCCAUCGUACUAGUUGUACCUCUAUUUAUGUUGUAUGUCUUUCUUCUGAACUUUGUCAGAUAAUGACAAGUCUUAAAAUUCAGUGAACUAUGAUAUACUUUUAGUCCUGUCUUCUGGCUAAUAGAAACUGCAAACCACACGACCAUCAACCUGGACAUUAUUACUUUGUAGCAGAACUUACGAAUAGAAUGGAUACAUUGGUGCAUGGCAGUGCUAAAAAGCAGAACUUACGAAUAGAAUGGAAGGGCAACAAGUCAAUCUCAACAACACUUACAGUUAGUACUCUGUAGGUGGAGGACAGGAGUCGCUCAUGGCUCAGCGGACGGCCGGAGGUGGUCCUGCCUGCCUAAAUCUGAUGAUACAUGGGCUUGGAGUUAAAUUCUAACUAAUUCAGCAGUGUCUCGUAUGUAGGCAUGGGUCAACAACUCAAUCUCAAGAAUACUUACAGUUGAGGAACAGCCAAAUCCAAACGGCUCCGAGGCAGGUGGAGGAACAGCCAGAUUGAUCUGGUGAUUGAUGUGUGGAUGGGUGUCGUUGCAGCCGACGGCUGUGCUGGGCGCUGAAGGGCGGCGAGAUCAGAUCGAUCUGGUUGUUGAGGUAGGGAUGAGGGUCGUUGCAGCCGACGGCCGGGCUAGGCGCUGAAGGGCGUCGUGCUCUGCGUUGGAGGGUGGCGAUCUGGGCGAGUUGAGGUGGGGAGGGGGGUUGCAGGUGAUGGCCGCGAUUGGCGCCGAAGGGCGGCGAUGGAAGGAGCGUUCUGGGCGGUGAGGCAGUGACGUACAAUGAUUUAUUUAGAGUUUUUUAG